CCUACGGGAGGCAGCAGUGGGGAAUAUUGCGCAAUGGGCGAAAGCCUGACGCAGCGACGCCGCGUGAGGGAUGAAGGUCUUCGGAUCGUAAACCUCUGUCAGCAGGGAAGAACGGUCACUGUGCUAAUCAGCAGUGAAUUGACGGUACCUGCAAAGGAAGCACCGGCUAACUCCGUGCCAGCCGCCGCGGUAAUACGGAGGGUGCGAGCGUUAAUCGGAAUUACUGGGCGUAAAGGGCUCGUAGGCGGUAUGUCAAGUCAAGGGUGAAAUCCCCGAGCUCAACGUGGGAACUGCCUUUGAUACUGGCAAACUGGAGUGUGUGAGAGGAUAGUGGAAUUCGAGGUGUAGGAGUGAAAUCCGUAGAUAUCUGGAGGAACAUCAGUGGCGAAGGCGACUAUCUGGCACAUAACUGACGCUGAGGAGCGAAAGCGUGGGUAGCAAACAGGAUUAGAUACCCCGGUAGUC
rnacentral:rRNA from 1 species